AAGCAGUCCCGUUAAUAUUACUUCAUAUGAUUGGGAUGAAAUUAAGAAUCUCGUGAGCUUAUUGGAGCCUGUGUUCGCCGCAACGCUUAAAUUGCAGAGUACGCAACUUUUUAUGGGCGAUUUUUUAAGCUUUGGUUGGAGCUAAAACUUGCAGUAAGCGCAACGACAUAUAUCCACACCCCCAUCAUGCUCCAAUGCGUCAAAAGCAGAGAGAAAUCACUGCUCGAACAUCCUGUUGUCGUGUGCAGCAUUUAUUUGGACCCUAGAAUAAGGAGAGUACUGCAGCAAACUCCCUUAACUCUUAUGCUCGCUAGGGUUCAUCUAAAACGACUUAUGCAAACAAUAUUUAAUAUGCACCGAAACGUAAGUAAACAUCGAAAAAGUAUUGUAAUUUAUAAUAAUUUUAUAAUAUUUACUUAGGUUAAAGACGUACCAACCCCAAUCCAUGGAAACUCGCAGCAUUCUACUUCUUCUCAGGCAGAGACUAGAGAAUACUUACAGGAAACAAGUACCUGCUCUCUCCUGAACGACUUUCUUAGUUCUAUUGAGGUUGCUUAACAUGACGAAGUGGAAAAUGAUAGUAUUGACAAAAAUUUGCAACUAGCGUAUUGUGAAAUAGAAAAUUAUAGGCCAAAUCCGAUCGAAUUAAGUACAAAUAUAAUGCAAUAUUGGGAACAAAAGAAGUACCAAUAUCCGAAUUUGUACCAAUUGACAAAAGUUGUGCAGUCUGCCCCUGCAACGCAGGUCAGUGUGGAAUGAGCAUUGUCUGCACUUAGAUUAGUUCUUUAAGAUCUGAGGUGCAACCUAUCCACAGAGUCGUUGCAGAAGCUGAACUUUGUUAAAUUAAAU
rnacentral:lncRNA from 1 species